GUCUAUUACAAAGUUGAUGGACUUGCCCCC
rnacentral:piRNA from 1 species